AUAGCUUCUAGACUAUGGUUGAGGUUUAUUUUUUAUUGUCUUCCAGUAAUGGGGGUGAUAAAGAAACUAAACACGGGCUAUUAGCUCAGGUGGUUAGAGCGCACCCCUGAUAAGGGUGAGGUCCCUGGUUCGAGUCCAGGAUGGCCCACUGCGUGGGGGUUUAGCUCAGUUGGUAGAGCGCCUGCUUUGCAAGCAGGAUGUCAGCGGUUCGAGUCCGCUAACCUCCACCAAGGAAAAGUUCAGCACAUUGUGAGUGGUUCAUCAGGAGUGAUGAGAUUACUUAUAAUCUGCUGGGCGAGAGCCUAGCGAAGAACCUUGAAAACUGAAUAUGAGAGAAGUGUAAGGUAGUACACACAGAACAUUCAAAGUUCGUUGAGAGAAGAGUGAACUUGAUUAGUUUUAAUUAACUAAUGAGAG
rnacentral:tRNA from 1 species